rnacentral:rRNA from 1 species
AUUGAACGCUGGCGGCAGGCCUAACACAUGCAAGUCGAACGGUAACAGGAAGAAGCUUGCUUCUUUGCUGACGAGUGGCGGACGGGUGAGUAAUGUCUGGGAAACUGCCUGAUGGAGGGGGAUAACUACUGGAAACGGUAGCUAAUACCGCAUAACGUCGCAAGACCAAAGAGGGGGACCUUCGGGCCUCUUGCCAUCGGAUGUGCCCAGAUGGGAUUAGCUAGUAGGUGGGGUAACGGCUCACCUAGGCGACGAUCCCUAGCUGGUCUGAGAGGAUGACCAGCCACACUGGAACUGAGACACGGUCCAGACUCCUACGGGAGGCAGCAGUGGGGAAUAUUGCACAAUGGGCGCAAGCCUGAUGCAGCCAUGCCGCGUGUAUGAAUAAGGCCUUCGGGUUGUAAAGUACUUUCAGCGGGGAGGAAGGGAGUAAAGUUAAUACCUUGGCUCAUUGACGUUACCCGCAGAAGAAGCACCGGCUAACUCCGUG